rnacentral:rRNA from 1 species
GGACGUACCUCUGGUGUACCAGUUGUCCUGCCAAGGGCAUGGCUGGGUAGCUAUGUACGGAAUGGAUAAGCGCUGAAAGCAUCUAAGCGCGAAGCCAACUUCAAGAUAAGAUUUCCCACCGCAAGGGUAAGACCCCAGAAAGACUAUCUGGUUGAUAGGUCGAAGGUGUAAGUGCAGCAAUGUAUUUAGCUUAUCGAUACUAAUAGGUCGAGGACUUGACCAA